ACCUACACCCACAAAAGCGCACUGGUACGCUGGGAUAGCUGUACUGACAAGGUGCUCCUGGUGUGGUUAAGCUAUGGACAAUGGGAGGGAAGUAGCUAUAUUUUGAUGCUUCUGGAGAAAGCGUAGGAUCAAGUAACUCCCAGCUUUCUCCUUACAGGCUGUGGAGGACCUAGCUGGGAGCGUUCCUGGGGCUGCUGUGGACACAGUCGAAGGCGCUGUUGGCUGUGGAGGACCUAGCUGGGAGCGUUCCUGGGGUUGAUGGAGGACUUGGAGGGGACGUUUCUGCUUCUGGGAGACUAGCUAGAAGCGUUUUUGGGGGUUCUGGGAGCGUCUCUGGAAGAGUUCCACGGG